rnacentral:rRNA from 1 species
AUAUUGGACAAUGGGCGAAAGCCUGAUCCAGCCAUGCCGCGUGAGUGAUGAAGGCCCUAGGGUUGUAAAGCUCUUUCAGCGGGGAAGAUAAUGACGGUACCCGCAGAAGAAGCCCCGGCUAACUUCGUGCCAGCAGCCGCGGUAAUACGAAGGGGGCUAGCGUUGUUCGGAAUUACUGGGCGUAAAGCGCACGUAGGCGGACCGGAAAGUCAGAGGUGAAAUCCCAGGGCUCAACCUUGGAACUGCCUUUGAAACUCCUGGUCUUGAGGUCGAGAGAGGUGAGUGGAAUUCCGAGUGUAGAGGUGAAAUUCGUAGAUAUUCGGAGGAACACCAGUGGCGAAGGCGGCUCACUGGCUCGAUACUGACGCUGAGGUGCGAAAGCGUGGGGAGCAAAC